AUGGAAAAAAAAAAUACAAAAGAUGCCCUGAUUAAUAAAGUAAUUAAUGGCUGUCCAUCAUCCGCAGGACCCCGAGGUGCAGAAACACGGCACAUCCUGAGAAGGAUGCUGGAGCAGGAGGAGGCAGAGCUACAGAACCUUCUGGAGGAACAGUCUCGAAACCCCUCGCCUUCAUUAGAGGAGCGAAUAGAAAGUGCCAAACGAAGAGCCAGUCAAGUGCGAAGAUCCAGCAGGAUGUGGACGGCACUCGAUCAGAAGCUGUCGCUAACUAUCUCACGGCUGGAGAAGGUCGGUUAUCGAUGGACUCCAGUGAAGGAGACGUCGAGAUGA
rnacentral:lncRNA from 12 species